AUGGAGGCUGCCAUGGAUGGUGGAUCAGUGAGAGCCACAAUGAGCAUCUUCGGCGAGAGCAUCAGUGGAAGAAGGGCAGACAAGAACAGAGCUCAAGAGAACCUGUCCUCUGAAAUGAAACAACGAGCAAAAUCUGACAUGGACAAGCUGAACGAGCGGAAGGCGUCCGUGGAUAACGAGCGAGCCGGCGCCGAGUCGGAGCUAUCCAGAGCACGAGCCAUGGCCAAGGAGCUGGAGCGCCAAAUCGACCAGACCAAGGCCAAGGCGACGUCCCAGAGGUCGGGGCUGCAAGCAACGUGGACACGGAAGAAUGGCGCCGAGGAGGCAUCGGACGCCCAGUACGCGGAGGUGUCGCAAGAGCUGGACCGCGUCAAGAGGGAGCUCCGCAAGCUGAAGCUGGAGGUGAAGUCCGCGGCGGAGGCCAAAGCCAAGGCCGAGAGCGACGUCGUGGCGACGGUGUGCAAGAUCCAGUCCAACCUGCAGGCCGCCGACGAGAUGAAGCGGCGCGUGGAUGAGGCAAACGAGGAGCACGUCCUGGUGGAGCUCGCGCGCAUCGAGGCCGAGCGGGAGCGCCGCGAGCUGGAGGCCCAGCACGUCGCCGAGGCAGAGCGGUUCGCCCGGGAGAUCGAGGCCGCGAGGUCCAAGGUGAAGGAGGCGCGCAGGGAGGUGAGCCGCGCGAGGGAGCUGGAGGCGAAGCUGGAGGCCACGAACGCCGACGUGGAGGUCCUGCAGGGCGAGAUGGAGCUGGUGCGCGCCAUGGAGAAGCACCACGUCCCGAACGACGGGGCGGCGGAGGAUACCACGAGACAGAAGAAAGAAGAGGCGCAGGACAGGGCGCUGCUGCAGGCCGCGGAGGCCGAGCUGUCCAUGGCGAAGAACGAGCUGGAGAGCAUCAAGGCGGGGGCGUUCCAGUUCAUGACCUCCAUGGACCGCACCCGGACCGAGAUCAUGGGGGUCGUCCAGGAGAUCGACCGGCUCAAGGCGCAGGAGAAGAACGCGGACGCGCAGGUGCAGCAGCUGAACGCGAAGCUCCUCAAGGCGAGGGCCCAGAUGGAGGCCGUCACGGCCGCCGACGAGAGGUCCAAGGCCAUCGUGUCGAACCUCACGGCGGCGAUGCAGCAGCUGCAUGCCGAGACCGAGGCGGCGAGCAAGGAAGAGGAGCUGACCAUGCUGGAGAAGCGGUGCGUGCUAGCAGAGGCGGACAACGUCGCCGCGGAGAUGGCCACGGCCGAGGAGCGGAUCAGGCAGUCUGUGAAGGAGCUGGAGGCGGCGAAGGCGUCCGAGACGUCGGCAAUGAAGAAGCUCAAGGCCGCCGUGGAGAGCACGAUGCAGGCCAGGUCGACCGCGGCGCCACGGCGGCAGGGGACUAUAACCGUCUCGCGGUUCGAGUACGAGUACCUGAGCGGGCGGGCGGCGCUGGUCCGGGUGGUGGCCGACAAGAAGGUGGCCGCGGCGCAGGCGUGGGUGCAGGCGCUCAAGGCCAGCGAGAAGGAGGUGGCGAUGCGGACCGAGGCGGCGGAGCGGGAGAUGAGGGAGAUGGGCCCCAGGGAGGCGCAGGCGGCGUCGGAGGCGGAGAAGACGGUGGGCGAGCAGAAGGCGCUGGAGCAGGAGCUGUACGACCUGAACGCGACGGCGGAGAGUGUGGGCCUGCAGUGCGCGUACCCGCGGCGGAGGUCGAGCAGGGUGUCGGCGACGUCGAAGAGGUCCAAGGGUCGGCGGUCGUCGGUGUCCGCGGCGAACUGGAACCCCAAGUCGCCGUCGUUCACCAUCAAGAGGAAGAAGAAGAUGAUGCCCAGCCUCCUGAAGCUCAUCAAGGAGAAGAGAGGCGGCAGCGACAAGAGCACCAACUGA
rnacentral:rRNA from 1 species